rnacentral:misc_RNA from 1 species
UCAAACUUGGUCAUUUAGAGGAAGUAAAAGUCGUAACAAGGUAUCUGUAGGUGAACCUGCAGAUGGAUCAUUUCGAUGAAAACCUUUUUUUCUUGAGGUGUGGCUCGCACCUGUCUAACUAAACUUGAGCUACCUUUUUUCAACACGGUUGCAUCGGUUGGCCUGUCAAACAGUGCGGCGGCGUGAAUUUUCACGUCUGCUUUGGCUGGGCGACGGACCGACACUUAAUCAACACUUUUGAUGAUCUAGGAUUUGAAUGAUAAAAGUUCAUUUUUACAAUGAAAUCGACUGGUAAUGCGGUCGUCUAAUUUUUAAAAACAACUUUUGGCAACGGAUCUCUUGGUUCUCCCAUCGAUGAAGAACGCAGC